rnacentral:rRNA from 1 species
GAGUUUGAUCCUGGCUCAGGACGAACGCUGGCGGCACGCCUAACACAUGCAAGUCGAACGGAGAUAUUUUGGUUUACUGAGAUAUYUUAGUGGCGGACGGGUGAGUAACACGUGAGCAACCUGCCUYUGAGAGAGGGAUAGCUUCUGGAAACGGAUGGUAAUACCUCAUAACAUAACGAAGCCGCAUGACUUUGUUAUCAAAGAUUUAUCACUCAGAGAUGGGCUCGCGUYUGAUUAGAUAGUUGGUGAGGUAACGGCUCACCAAGUCGACGAUCAGUAGCCGGACUGAGAGGUUGAACGGCCACAUUGGGACUGAGACACGGCCCAGACUCCUACGGGAGGCAGCAGUGGGGAAUAUUGCACAAUGGGGGAAACCCUGAUGCAGCGAUGCCGCGUGGAGGAAGAAGGUUUUCGGAUUGUAAACUCCUGUCUCAAAGGACGAUAAUGACGGUACUAGAAGUGKGUGGG